rnacentral:misc_RNA from 1 species
GACGAAUUUUACAUAUUCAUAACCUGCAUACCGCUGUUUUGUUCCUGAAAAUGCUGCAGUUUCCAGGAAUUAACGUUCUGUGCUGGUAGCGGUAGUGGUCCUUGACAAUUAGCAAUAUAAUUUAGCAAAAGAUAUGUAGUAAUUCUGAUAUUAAUUGUUCUGUUACCUCAACAACUGCUAUAUACUCUCACCAGCAUCAUCAUGUAGCCGAGUCUCCAGGACAGGUUUGUAAAAGCAGCUGGACCCCUUGUCUUUUGGACAUGGAAAAUGAAAGGAAGAUGACUUCCUUUAGGGUAUUGGGAUCAAACUAUCAACGUGAUCUUCACUUGGAAGUUUGGGAUCAUGAAGAAGAAACUUGACUCAAAAGACUGAAUAAGAAUCCAUACCAGCUGCCAGCUGAGUUAGGAUAAAGCACGUGCACACCCCCUACUCUUGAGCACCCACCAACACGCUACCAGACGAUACACAAGACUUUCAAACUCAACCAGAUCAUUCAACCGAUCGAAGGAGAUGAUUAAGAGUUUAAAAUUUAACUAAAGUGGAAUUAAUAUUACAACCGGUAAUCUUACAAGAACAGACACAAAUUCUAAAAACCAUGACCCCAAAUAGACCUCAAGUGGACAAGCAACCCCCCUACCCUGAAUCCUGAAAUGAGUAUUUUACACGGAUUCGCCAUGUUCUUGACCCAUUUUCACAUGGUGUCUGAGCCGCCCCAUCUUACAUUUAAAAUAAUCAUUAACAAACACGGCAUACAAGUUUCAAUUACCUUAAAGCCCUUGCUAGCUAGUAGCCACAU